GACAAAGCCCAGUGACUUAGAAACAACAGUGUUUUACAUUCCUGGAGUUGAUGUAAAGUUGCAUUACAAUUCUAAGACACUAAAGACUGAAUCACCUAAUGCCUCCAGAGGAUCUUCCUUGCCUAGAACUCUCUCCAAAGAGUCCAAGCUGUAUGCUAAAGGAAAAGGAAGUGGAGGAGUAAAAACAGCCAAGCUAUACGCCUGGGUAGCACUGCAGUCAUUACCAGAAGAAAUGGUUAUUAGUCCUUGUCUAUUGGACUUUCUUGAAAAGGCUCUGGAAACUAUCCCAAUUACACCAAUAGAAAGGAAUUAUACAGUCAGCUCACAAGAUGAAGACAUGGGACAUUUUGACAUCCCAGAUCCU
rnacentral:lncRNA from 1 species